rnacentral:rRNA from 1 species
UACGUAGGGACCAAGCGUUGUUCGGAUUUACUGGGCGUAAGGGCGCGUAGGCGGCAUAUUAAGUCAGCUGUGAAAUCUCCGAGCUUAACUCGGAACUGUCAGCUGAUACUGAUGUGCUAGAGUGCAGAAGGGGCAAUCGGAAUUCUUGGUGUAGCGGUGAAAUGCGUAGAUAUCAAGAGGAACACCUGAGGUGAAGACGGGUUGCUGGGCUGACACUGACGCUGAUAGCGCGAAAGCCAGGGGAGCAAACGGG